UGGCGGCAUGGCUUACACAUGCAAGUCGAACGGUAACGCGGGGCAACCUGGCGACGAGUGGCGAACGGGUGAGUAAUACAUCGGAACGUACCCAGUAGUGGGGGAUAGCCCGGCGAAAGCCGGAUUAAUACCGCAUACGACCUACGGGUGAAAGCGGGGGAUCGCAAGACCUCGCGCUAUUGGAGCGGCCGAUGUCAGAUUAGGUAGUUGGUGGGGUAAAGGCCUACCAAGCCUGCGAUCUGUAGCUAGUCUGAGAGGGCGACCAGCCACACUGGGACUGAGACACGGCCCAGACUCCUACGGGAGGCAGCAGUGGGGAAUUUUGGACAAUGGGCGCAAGCCUGAUCCAGCCAUGCCGCGUGCGGGAAGAAGGNCUUCGGGUUGUAAACCGC
rnacentral:rRNA from 1 species